rnacentral:rRNA from 1 species
UACGAAGGGGGCUAGCGUUGCUCGGAAUUACUGGGCGUAAAGCGUGCGCAGGCGGCUUCUCAAGUCAGGGGUGAAAGCCCAGAGCUCAACUCUGGAAUUGCCUUUGAGACUGAGUGGCUUGAGUACGAGAGAGGUGAGUGGAAUUCCCAGUGUAGAGGUGAAAUUCGUAGAUAUCAGGAGGAACACCUGUGGCGAAAGCGGCUCACUGGACCAUAACUGACGCUGAUGGCAACGAAAGCUAGGGGAGCAAACAGG